GAUAAGAUGGCUGAAAAUAGGUUGUAAAUUGUAAAUUUAUAUAUAGGAUAAAAUCCUUCUUAUUA
rnacentral:tRNA from 1 species